UCAGUCAGUACAGCAGCAUGUAAGACUGAGAGAGACUGCAUAUGGAUAUGUGUGUUAGUGUGUGUGUAUGUGUUUAUCUCCGCCACUAGAUGUGUGUAGUUUAAUUUGAAUGUAGUAAAUAACCUGGUAAAUUGCCUGUGGCAUUCUAAUGAAGUGUGGAGUGUGUGCAUGUGGAUCUUUGUGGUCGAGAAGUAUACUGUAAAUAGUGAGUGGAUGGAUGGGUCAAGGAGAAACUGCAGGGGUGGAUGGACAAACAUUUAUCUACCGGGAUGAGGUCUAACAGUUAGCUCCCUUCCCCCUGUACUGACCUGCAAGAUCUGAACUGAACUCCUAGACAACAGUCUGUUACAAUAAGUUUGUAAAACAUUUAAAAAAUAAAACACAAAAUAAAUAAUUUAAAUAUCAUAAUAUCAUAAUAUUAUUAAAAUAAAAAUGCAUUUGUCACAUGCCAGCUGUGUUUAACAUGUCUUAACUGUAUCCAGACUCAGCAGGAGAUUGUUCAUGUAGUUCUUAAGCCUUUGCAGAACUGCCGGACACAAAGUGAGGCUGUAGGUUCGGUUGUCCUUCAGGAAGAGGUCCAAGUCCUGGAACGAGCUUGGCGUUCUGGCAGGGCACUGCAGGGAUGUCAUCUCCCUCUCCAGGUGGCCACGGAGUGUGCUGAGGUCCACGGAGAGCUGCGAUUUGGGACCCCACAGGCUGUCCACAAUCCUCCGAAAGGCCAUCAGGGAAUCGAUAGCUGACCCCAGGCCCUGGAUGGGCUUGGUACCCGGGACCACGUCUGAGAGCUCGAAACUGAGUCUUUGGGAUAUGGGGUACUGUGGGAUAAGAUAUGAAAGGACUGCCAGGAAGAGAACCAGUGAGCUCCCCAGUAAUCUUGGAGGGGAGUGAUUUUGCAUGUACCCUCGUCCAAAUUAUUUCAGCUCUGCUGACUUCACCCUGUGAGAGAGACUCUUAGAGGUCAACAACUGAGGCAGUGGCUUCUUGGAAAUUUAGUUCAUGGAGCAGUUUGGCCACCCACCUUUGUCCACUUCAGCGUCCUCCACAGUCUCCCUCUCCUGUUCAUGUAACGUCUUAACAGUGUCGUGAUUGACAGCUGCUGCGCUCCUACAAGGACCGUCAUCUGGCAUUGCCGCCUCUACACCCACGACAAUCCAGACUAUUUUCAUUUGUGGUCCCCGAUGGUGGAACAAACUACCAAGUGCCACCAAAACAGGAGUCCCUCUUUCUUCAAAAAGCUCUUGAAGACCCAACUCUUCCAAGGAUACUUCCUCUCCUAACACUUCCAACAACCUAACACACCUACUAUGCACUUCCCUUCCUUUCCUCUUCUACCUCCUUCUUCUACCACUUUCUCUCCUACCACACUUUGACUAGCACUGUACUUAAAGGGCGCUGGUCAUAUAAUUAGAAUAUCAUGAAAAAGUUGAUUUAUUUCAGUAAUUCCAUUCAAAAAGUGAAACUUGUUUAAUGUGUACAUUCAUUCCAC